GAAUAUUGGACAAUGGGCGCAAGCCUGAUCCAGCCAUCCCGCGUGCAGGAUGACUGCCCUAUGGGUUGUAAACUGCUUUUCUUAGGGAAGAAAAGUUGAGAUUUAUCUUGAUUUGCCGGUACCUAAGGAAUAAGCACCGGCUAACUCCGUGCCAGCAGCCGCGGUAAUACGGAGGGUGCAAGCGUUAUCCGGAAUCACUGGGUUUAAAGGGUGCGUAGGCGGCGUCAUAAGUCAGAGGUGAAAUCCUGCAGCUUAACUGUAGAAUUGCCUUUGAUACUGUGGUGCUUGAAUAAGGUUGAGGUAAGCGGAAUGUGGCAUGUAGCGGUGAAAUGCUUAGAUAUGCCAUAGAACACCGAUUGCGAAGGCAGCUGACUGGACCUGUAUUGACGCUGAGGCACGAAAGCGUGGGGAGCGAACAGG
rnacentral:rRNA from 1 species